rnacentral:rRNA from 1 species
UGCAAGUCGAACGGAAAGGCCCCUUCGGGGGUACUCGAGUGGCGAACGGGUGAGUAACACGUGGGCAAUCUGCCCUGCACUUCGGGAUAAGCCUGGGAAACUGGGUCUAAUACCGGAUAGGACCUUUAGGCGCAUGUCUUUAGGUGGAAAGCUUUUGCGGUGUGGGAUGGGCCCGCGGCCUAUCAGCUUGUUGGUGGGGUGAUGGCCUACCAAGGCGACGACGGGUAGCCGGCCUGAGAGGGUGUCCGGCCACACUGGGACUGAGAUACGGCCCAGACUCCUACGGGAGGCAGCAGUGGGGAAUAUUGCACAAUGGGCGCAAGCCUGAUGCAGCGACGCCGCGUGGGGGAUGACGGCCUUCGGGUUGUAAACCUCUUUCACCAUCGACGAAGGUCCGGGUUUUCUCGGAUUGACGGUAGGUGGAGAAGAAGCACCGGCCAACUACGUGCCAGCAGCCGCGGUAAUACGUAGGGUGCGAGCGUUGUCCGGAAUUACUGGGCGUAAAGAGCUCGUAGGUGGUUUGUCGCGUUGUUCGUGAAAUCUCACGGCUUAACUGUGAGCGUGCGGGCGAUACGGGCAGACUAGAGUACUGCAGGGGAGACUGGAAUUCCUGGUGUAGCGGUGGAAUGCGCAGAUAUCAGGAGGAACACCGGUGGCGAAGGCGGGUCUCUGGGCAGUAACUGACGCUGAGGAGCGAAAGCGUGGGGAGCGAACAGGAUUAGAUACCCUGGUAGUCCACGCCGUAAACGGUGGGUACUAGGUGUGGGUUUCCUUCCUUGGGAUCCGUGCCGUAGCUAACGCAUUAAGUACCCCGCCUGGGGAGUACGGCCGCAAGGCUAAAACUCAAAGGAAUUGACGGGGGCCCGCACAAGCGGCGGAGCAUGUGGAUUAAUUCGAUGCAACGCGAAGAACCUUACCUGGGUUUGACAUGCACAGGACGCGUCUAGAGAUAGGCGUUCCCUUGUGGCCUGUGUGCAGGUGGUGCAUGGCUGUCGUCAGCUCGUGUCGUGAGAUGUUGGGUUAAGUCCCGCAACGAGCGCAACCCUUGUCUCAUGUUGCCAGCGGGUAAUGCCGGGGACUCGUGAGAGACUGCCGGGGUCAACUCGGAGGAAGGUGGGGAUGACGUCAAGUCAUCAUGCCCCUUAUGUCCAGGGCUUCACACAUGCUACAAUGGCCGGUACAAAGGGCUGCGAUGCCGCAAGGUUAAGCGAAUCCUUUUAAAGCCGGUCUCAGUUCGGAUUGGGGUCUGCAACUCGACCCCAUGAAGUCGGAGUCGCUAGUAAUCGCAGAUCAGCAACGCUGCGGUGAAUACGUUCCCGGGCCUUGUACACACCGCCCGUCACGUCAUGAAAGUCGGUAACACCCGAAGCCAGUGGCCUAACCCUUGGGAGGGAGC